CCUACGGGUGGCAGCAGUCGAGAAUCAUUCACAAUGGGGGAAACCCUGAUGGUGCGACGCCGCGUGGGGGAAUGAAGGUCUUCGGAUUGUAAACCCCUGUCAUGUGGGAGCAAAUUAAAAAGAUAGUACCACAAGAGGAAGAGACGGCUACCUCUGUGCCAGCAGCCGCGGUAAUACAGAGGUCUCAAGCGUUGUUCGGAAUCACUGGGCGUAAAGGGUGCGUAGGCUGUUUCGUAAGUCGUGUGUGAAAGGCGCGGGCUCAACCCGCGGACGGCACAUGAUACUGCGAGACUAGAGUAAUGGAGGGGGAACCGGAAUUCUCGGUGUAGCAGUGAAAUGCGUAGAGAUCGAGAGGAACACUCGUGGCGAAGGCGGGUUCCUGGACAUUAACUGACGCUGAGGCACGAAGGCCAGGGGAGCGAAAGGGAUUAGAUACCCCUGUAGUC
rnacentral:rRNA from 1 species